rnacentral:tmRNA from 1 species
GGGGAUGAUCGGUUUCGACGGUGACCUGUUCGUCGCAGGGAAGCGUGCCGAGAACGUAGGGUCCGCUCGUGGAUGCCCCCUACAAAAGAAUAAGUGCUAAAUCUAACCGCACUGAGUUCGCUCUCGCUGCCUGAGCUUCGCGCCAGGAUUAACCAGUGAGCAGCCGCUCCGUUCACUCCCCCUCGUCUUUGGGGGGAUGUUGAGCGUCGUUUAGAAGACUUGCCUUACCGGCUGAGCCACAGGGCCGGCAAGGGACUUUUACUGUAGAUAUGCUCGCCAUCAGUUGUCUGCGACAUCGUUGCCGAGGGCAUCACGAAAAUCGAAAACGCCUCCACAAUGGAGGAAUUGAAAGCCAUCAAGACGCAGUACGCCGG